GAAAUGCGAUAAGUAAUGUGAAUUGCAGAAUUCAGUGAAUCAUCGAAUGUUUGAACGCACAUUGCGCCCGCCAGUAUUCUGGCGGGCAUGCCUGUUCGAGCGUCAUUACAACCCUCAGGCCCCCGGGCCUGGCGUUGGGGAUCGGCGGAAGCCCCCUGCGGGCACAACGCCGUCCCCCAAAUACAGUGGCGGUCCCGCCGCAGCUUCCAUUGCGUAGUAGCUAACACCUCGCAACUGGAGAGCGGCGCGGCCACGCCGUAAAACACCCAACUUCUGAAUGUUGACCUCGAAUCAGGUAGGAAUACCCGCUGAACUUAAGC
rnacentral:misc_RNA from 1 species